rnacentral:tRNA from 3 species
CAGUGGUGUAGCGGUUAACAUGCCUGCCUGUCACGCAGGAGAUCGCGGGUUCGAUUCCCGUCUGG